rnacentral:lncRNA from 1 species
CACAGCCCAGCUGAGUGUCCAAGCAGGAGUCCCGGUCUAAGGAGGGGCUCAGGAAGCUGAGGAUGUGUUCUCAGCGUGGUGGGAGCCCCUCGCUUUCAUUGUUCUUCCACUGAGAGCACCCAGCACAGGAGGACCGGGACUCCAGACUGGUGGGGAAAGGACAGGAGCAUUUACACACAGCCCACCCCCACAAACUGCAAGCUCCAGAGGGCUGCUCCGCUUGGCUCCUCCCAAGGGGGCAUCUCCCUGCAUCCUGAGCAUCCUUGGUCCCAGGCCCCAUUCCGCUGCACAUUCCCCUGUGCCAGCUACACCCACGGGCUUUGUCAGGUUGUCUCCCUUUUAGUGAAGUACACGUCUGGUGCAUCACAAAUGCUGAGGCUGCUGAGCAUCCCGAGCAGAUGGCUGGCCGCCUGAGUUCCUGGCUGCACACAGUGAGUUCUCCUCCCGACCUCUCGGGCCAGCCCACCAGGCUUCCUCUGUGUUCUACUCACUCCAUGUGCUCAGCCCCUCUGUCCAGCAGGGCCUCUUGGUCCCCAUCUCUACAGUGUGAGGGUGGAACACGAAGGCUGGGGAGUUGCCCAGAUCCCAUGGUUGGAAGUGGUGGAGCUGGGAUUGGACCCAGGUCAAGAGCGCCACACGGGAAAGCAGGUCUGGGCCAGCUGAUGGCAUAGGGGUGGCUGCCCACCCCGCCUGAGAGCCCGGGUGCUCACCGCGUCAAUGGCCGUCAGCUGUUCUGCCACGUCCCUUGGGGAGAAGGCCAUGAGGCUAGGCUUCCCAUCGGGCUGCUUCUUCCCGGUCACUCGACAGGGGUGGGAAGCCUCUGGAACCGGAGCUGAUUCUGCGUGUUACUGGAGCCUGAGGUGGAAAUCCCAGCAGCCCCUUGGUCCCGUUGAGUCCAGUUCAGGACCUGGCACUUGGGCUGGGGUGCUGAUGCACUCGCUCGGGGUCUGGAGCAGCUGAGGGCGCUGCUGCCGGUUCCAGCGCUAGAAGUGAUGGCAGAAAUAGAACUGGAGUUCCGUCCAGCUCCAGAUGUGGCCCCUUUUCUGCUCUGCACCUGGCAGAAGUGCUGGAGCUGGGCAGGAGCUGGAGAAAGAGAAAGGGUCAGCUACAUAAGUUGCUUUCCAUGUGCCUUUCCCCAAACAGGAAAGAUCCCACUGUCUUUAAAUGAAUCCCCAGUCGUGACCCACCCACUGGGGUAGUCUUCCAAGCCUACGGUCUCCCUUACCCUCUGUCUCCAACUCAGUGGCCUGGAAAAGGUCCACCUGGAUGAGAAGAGGGGUGGCCUGGUGCUUCAGGACUGAGCCAGGCAAGAGGUCCUGGAGAUACGCCAACGUCAGGUUGAUCCUGGAGUGGCAGCAUCUGCCACAUAUCCUGGGAGUUCUCCUGAGGCCGGGGGCCCCAGAUGGGAGAGAGGGCACUGGGGAGAGGCUGUGUGAAGAGAGUCACAGGCCUGGCCUGCUGUUCCACACUGUGUUCCCACAGCACCUUCUCUGUGCCUGAGCCCCAGAGGGUGGACCAGCCACUCCAAUCCCUGGGUGGCUGUCCUUGCACUGGAAGGCCUGGUCAUCAGCCAAUCUAACAGAGAGCCUGUGUGAGUCUGGUCUUCCACCUGACACUCUUUUCCCAAAGGGCCUGGACAUAGCCUGCCCCAUCCUCCACGCUCGAGCAUCAGGACUGAGGUUGGAGGCAGAUUUGUGACCAGGCUGCUCACCACCUACUGUUCUGGGCCCCAGUGGCGGUGCUUAGGAGAGGUGCAUGUGCAGAGGGCAGGGAGAGGGAGAGGGAACUGUGGAAGCGAGGAGUCUCUCAGUGGCCGACUCAGCCCAGCCUCUCCUCUGCUUCCCAUGGCGGGACUGGCACCCAUGAACAGGUCUCUUUGAUUCAUUUCCUCCUGUAGGGAAGACCGCAGACCUCAGGCCUCCCACAGAAACCCCAAGAGGUGUGAGAUCCAGGGUCUGCCAGUCCAUCCAUAGCCACAGUCCCCAUGGUCUCCUAGCCCCUUCUGUGGACACAGGAGGCCCUCCCUCUGGACCCAACACCACUCAUGGUCUUAGUUGGUCCUUGAAGUCUGUCAUCGUGGUCUGACUAUGAGAGGAUGCGUCCAUAUCUAGAGGAGGCCAAGAGGGUGUGACAUCUAACGUCCUCUGGGCAUGAAUACUCACGAUGCCCAGAAGUGAGCUUCUAGCUCUCAGGCUAGAAUUGAGCCCCAGGGAUAGUGUCUGCUUCCUUCAUUGGACAUCCUUAGUGUGUAGGAAAGGGUAUGAAUGUAGUAGGAGCUUAACAUAUAGUAUUGAAUGAAUGAACCCCAUCCAGAGCCUUCCCAGAAUUCUGAGUGGGCCUGCGCUCCUCUGCUGCCCACAGAGACCACUGCUCUGGCCGCACCGAAGACAAGGACCAGGAUCAGCUAGAUGGACUCGCUAAAUUGUCUUGCCAAUAGGAAAACAGUUUGCUUUCAUGUACUUUUCCACACUCAGGAAGGCCACAGGCCAGCGAGGGGAGAGGCAGGGAGUCUCCUCACUGGGGACGGAAGCUGUAAGCGUGAGGACACGCAGCAUGAGCAGCAGCCCCUUCUGUGGAGUCCGGCACCAGGCAAGCGUCUGCCGUGCUUUCUCCCGUGAUUUCCUUCAGUGACCCUGUGAGGUUUACCUCUUACCACCCCACUAUUCGGAUGAGCAAGGUGACGCUCAGAGAGGUGUGGGGACGUUCCCAAGGCACACGUUUAUUAGGUGGAGACUCCCUGCUGUGCUGUGGAGGGGUGGGCACUCACCUCUGGAGCAGCUGGUCCAGGACCUGUGGGGUCGGGUAGAAGGCCUGGUACACACACGGGAAGGUGGUGACGGAGAUGGAUCUGCCGUGGAAAGAUGGUUGCAGGCAGCCUACCACCUUCUGCACUGCGCCUGCCUUGAGGGUCAGCAUCGUGCGGGCCUCAGCCACGGACAGGGUGGGUUCCUUGGCAUACCACGUGGACAAGGUGGGACACAGUGUUAGUGGCCAUCACCAGGAACCACCAGGAGCAUCAGGGUCUGGAGCUCAGACCAGAACCUCCCAGCACCUCAGGAAGUUGUAUAAGAGGGACGAGAGCCCACCUGGGAAAUGGUUUUGGACUUCCAAGUACAAUUUGAUUUUUAGGGGAAUGACAAACACUUAGUACCUUCAAGGCAUUCUGUGACCUGAGGAACAAUCGCACCUCUGUGCAUUAAGAGCCUGUGUUAAGAGCAUUAUCCCAGGGAGUCAUCAAUAAACAUCCCCACCACAGACAUGAGCAAAGAGACGAUUAGUGACCUUCCGCCAAUCUGCGGUUCUAUGUCAUGGCAGACCUAGAAAACUCUGAGUCUAUUGGGACACAUUUAAGAUGUGCCCUGCAGCGUGUUGCUCAAAUGACAACAGAUAUUGGGUCAUGUCCAGGUCCAACAGCAUUGAAAGACUGAAUCACUGAGGAAAAUGUCCUCCUAUGUGGAAUUAUGAUGAAGUCAAAAAGGCCUCAGCUCCUGACCUGAGUGGCCUAUGAUGAGUUGAUGUGUUUCGUGAAUGCGAAGUUGCAGAGGAAUGUAUAGGAUCCUGUAAUCCACCCCCAUCCUCUUUGUGUGUAAUCAGCCUAGCACGUGUGAUGAUUUGUGAGGCUUGGAAAAUGUCUGCAAGGACAGUGGCCUGAGUGCUACACAGCUUCCCAGCCGGGCAGCUACAUCAAUCCAAACGGGAGCAAAAUGCUAAGGUCCUCAUGGCCUCGUGAAAAGUGAUAACAACGUUAAACAUUUCCUCUAUGAUUCCAAGAAACAUGUGAAGAGUGUCUUUCCACCUUACCCCACAGCUGGCUGGGGAGGAGAGGAGGCCCAGACUCCUUCAGGAGCAAGGCCGUAGGACACUCCAUUGGGAAAGCCCUGUGAGGGCCCCAGGGGUGUGCUCAGAUUCAGACCUGCGUUCCAGGCCCACCCUGAACAUCUUGGGGUGGAGAGGAGGCCCAGACUCCUUCAGGAGCAAGGCCGUAGGACACUCCAUUGGGAAAGCCCUGUGAGGGCCCCAGGGGUGUGCUCAGAUUCAGACCUGCGUUCCAGGGCCACCCUGAACAUCUUGGGGUGGUGGGCAGGGAGACCCUCUGCUCCUGCUCUCACCUCAGACCGGCACAGGAUGCUGCUGGUGGCCUGCUGCUCCUGCCUCUUGACUAGGGAGGGAGAGAAGUCGAACCCGUCACAUAACUCUUCAAAGAUCUCCUGCGUGGAGUUCUGGAAAGACAGUGCCCGGCAGACGGGCCAGGAGGCAUCAGGGCCUGCUGGACAUCGCCACAGGGGGAUACCCCCUCGAGAAAUUCUAUUCCUUAGUUCAGGCACACAGGGACAUCUGCACAGACAUCUGACCAGGGAGGGAACUAGAUGAAACUUCUAAGGCUCGGGAUUAACGCAAGGGCAGAGGAGCUUGAUCCCCAGCACCCACCUGCUCAGGCUGCCAGACAGGCCCUGGGGUAUGAAUAUCACAGACUUACCAGGCUGACAGCACAUAACACUCUCCUCCUGCCCAGGAGGGACCCACUCCUCACCUGCUGCCUUCCCUGACAGUGCCCAUGCGCGCACACACACACACACACACACAGACACUCACACACAAACACUCACACAGGGGGCAAGGGCUAUGGGGCUGCUCAGGUGGGAUCAGAGUUGUGUCCUGCCCUACAUUGGGCUGCUCUGGGCUGCCCCACAUUACCUUUGGGUACCUCCUGCCAAAUGGCCUGUGGCUCCGAGGAUGAGGGUUAAGCCAACUCCUACAACAACACAACAGUCUCACACUCUGGGCUUUCCUGAGCCUAGAGCCUCUGAAAACUGGGCCACAACAAGCAAACAUGUUGUUGUCUGAAGUGUGUCCAGUCAAAUGAGCUGGCUAGGGGCCUGUGUCUAGAAUGUAACUGCCUGGUUACAAGAGUUCUAAGUCUGUUGGGGUCUAUCGCCAAGGAAGUGAGGUCACGUUUUCAAGAUUCCAUUACCUGGGCUGCUUCCUGUAAUCAGACCUAACCAAACCACCCUCAUGUCAUCUUCUUAACUAUACAUGAGGAGCUUCCACAGCCCCAGCCACAGCUGCCUGGCAAUGUCAUGAGGGUCCCAGCUUUGAGGAGGCAGAGCAGAAUUCAGACCUCCUUUAUCUUACCACUUCUCUGUCCAGGAAACCUCAUUGUGCCUCUCAGGGCCUCCCCAGUCUCCAAACCCGCACAAGGGGAAUCCGCCUAGAAUAUACUUGCCAGGGACAUCAUCAGGUGUAUAUGAGAUAAUAUCCAUACCACCUGUGAGGUCGUGUCAAGUGCAAGUAAUGCACAAACAAAGAGAUGGAAGAAUUACGAGAAGGGAUGUAGCAUGAACACCACUCAAAACAGGCCUGGGGUCAGCAAUGCGAUAUUGCAACAGGCAACUCCUCUCUCGGCCUCAUUUCAAUGUCAGCACAAGGAGAGGGUUGCUGAAUGAAAUCCAGACACUGUCAUCCUCUGGAUUCAAACCUCUCCAUUGUUUCCUCUUCUAUUUAGAAAGAGACCCAAGUGCCACAUGUUGAACUAUGAGGUGGGCAGCCUUCACAAUGGCUCCCAGAGAUCCCCACCCGUGGUACACACAUCCCUCACAGAUUCCUGUGUGACCACUGAGUGCUUAGUGACUGGCUGUCACCAAUAGAACACAGCCGGUCUGGACGGAUGUCAUGCCUAAAUUUUAAACACAAAAAGUCUCUCACUUCCUUCUUAUUUCCUCUCUUAAGUUCCACCUCUCUCUUCUCUCUCUCUUUCCCUUCUCUCUCUCUCUUCCCUAUCCCUGAGCUGGGGAAUCAAGCAGAGAUGUUUUGAGCUGCCAUAUACAGAGGCCCACGUGGGAGGGAACCGAGGCAGCACCCAGGCCAACAGACAGAAAGUAACCCAUCCUCUGAGUCCAAACUGUACCCUGAAUCCUUUGAGGAAACCUGGGAGGAAAUUCUCUGCCAGUCGAGCAUCAGCUGAGGUUGCGGCCCCGGCCUUGAGGCAUCUUGAGCAGAGGAACCAAGCUCAUGUAUGUCUGAUUCAACCGCAAAAAUUGUGAGAUAGGAGGCAUUUGUCCUUUUCAGAUUCAAGGCACUGGAACUGUGAUUUCAGGCCCCAGGAUCUGGCAUUGCCCCCUCCUUCUCUGCCCCCCAGGCUUCCUCCAGCCACACUGGCCACCUUUCUCACAUCCUCUGGCCAAACCCCCUUCUGCCCAUGAGUGUCUGCAGCAGAGGUGCCUUCUCCCUGGCACGCUGCUCCCAGACUUGUGCAGGGCUGGCUCCCUCUUGUCAUUCUGGUCCCAGCAAAUGUCACCCCAGUGAGGCCUUUCAGACCCCUACCCGGUGACCCCCAGCCCUCCCUCACAGGCGCCUGAAUGUCCCCAAAACACUGGCUCUUUCCUCUCUCAUGCGUUUGCUUUCAUGCUUUUGUCCUUGUCCCCUCCAGAGUGUGAGCUCCUGACUGGCAGGGACCACUCAGUCGUCGUCAGCCCUGUACUCAGACCCACCUGAGCACCUGGCACAGGGUGCGUGCUCGGUGCACAGUCGCUGAGUGAAGAAUUGUGAAACUCGUGUCCCCUCCUCCUGCUCUUCACCAAGUCAGACUGUGGAGAGGAGCGCUAGUACCAGGAGGAGUGAGUUCUCUCUGAGGCGGGGGACAGCCGGAAAGGCCUCUGCACGGCUAUUCGCUACUCCAGCAGCUGAAGCAGAGCUGAGUGGGCGCCGUGUAAGUUUAAGAAGUCAGCACAGGGACUCGAUGCACACAGACUGCACAAUAACACCACCAGUUCACUUAACAUCCAUCACUGAGAACAGAAAAAUAAGCGUUUCCUUGUGAUGAGAAGUUUAGCUUCUUUGUUCUUAGCAACUUUGAAUGUACCACACAGCAGUGUUAACUUAGGCAGUGUUGUGUGUCAAUUACAUCCCAAUAGAAGUGACAACAAUUAAAACCCAACCCCAGCGGGCACCACUGACGCUGCAGGCUGCCUGCCUCCUGGUGGCCAGCGCCAGCACUGCAGCCCUGGCAGAAGCCAACAAACAGGAAGGUUUCUUUGGGUGUCCUCAAGGCAAAGGCUCCCCACUGUCCCAGGGGUAAAGGAGCAGGACCUGCAGGCUUCCAGACCAUGCAAGGAACCUCAGCAGCCUCUCUCUCCCCAUCUUUCUGUCCCUCCACUCGGGUGUCCUCUUCUCUCAGGAGGCAUCCUAACCUCAGCCAAGGCAAUGAUUUCCCUCUCCUGCCAAGUGAGGACCUCAGGACUCCAACAAGGACUGGUCUUGUCCCUGGACUCUGGACUCAGUGUACACUGCUCUGGCAUGUUCUUCCUUAUCCCAAGUUCUCAUCCACCCAAGCCCCCAAGCCUGUCUCAGUUCUAAAGGAUCUCCAGCAGGUGGGAAAGCAUUUUCUCAGGUGCUCAGAGCACAGGGCGUCAUCGAUGGAGAACCAAGGGCCACAGACACUUCGUGAGCAUCAUACGGAACCCAGGGAGUCACCCACUGGAUGCACUCCACUUUACACAGGAGGACACCAAUGUCUUCUCUCCUCUACCCAAUGUCUACACAAGAGGAGAACGGCUCAUCAGAGUAGCAGGUGCCCGCAGAAGUAGACUCCAGCUCCCCAGUCCUGUGCCCUCCAGGCUAGGCCAGGGAUGCCCUUGGAACAGGUACACACCUAGAAACCUGAGGGAUUCUUCAGUCCAUCUCGGGCCUUCUGGGCAUGUAGCCAGGAGGAUGGAUGCUACUGUUCAUGGCAGAGCUGCCUCCGACUGCCUUCUCCUCGGCCUCUUGUCACUUCCCUGGUGUCUGCUCUUUCCUGGGGUCCCUGCAUGGUCCACACAGGAGAAAUCGGUGUGAGUGUGCCUGUGCAUGAUUGGAUGCGAACAGGAAGACGACCCCACAUGGACAGGGGUGGGCAGGGCUCCCCUAGGACCAUGAGGUCCCUGUUUCCAAAGAAAACCCGAAGGAAAGAGGUGGAGCCUUGGCCAAGGAAGCCAGAGCCCUGAUUGAUCCUCUGGAUUCUGAACCCCUCCUGAGGUCUGGGUCAGUCCCUCCAACUUUCUGGGCCUCAGAUUCCCAAAUGGACAAAGAACACGUUUUGUAAGAGCAAAGUCAAA